rnacentral:rRNA from 1 species
UACGUAGGGGGCAAGCGUUAUCCGGAUUUAUUGGGCGUAAAGAGCUCGUAGGCGGCCGAUCGCGUCGGAUGUGAAAGCUCGGGGCUCAACCCUGAGAGGCCAUUCGAUACGGAUCGGCUAGAGGUAGGUAGGGGAAAGUGGAAUUCCUGGUGUAGCGGUGAAAUGCGCAGAUAUCGUAAGGAAGACCAGUGGCGAAGGCGGGUCUCUGGACAGUUCCUGACGCUGAGGCACGAAGGUCAGGGGAGCAAACGGG